UGGCCGCUGGCCGAGCUCGGCGAGGCGCUGCGCUCGCUCGGCAGCGAGGUGACGAUCGCGAUGUCGGCGGCCGG
rnacentral:tRNA from 1 species